rnacentral:rRNA from 1 species
UACGGAGGGUGCGAGCGUUGUCCGGAAUCACUGGGCGUAAAGGGCGCGUAGGCGGCGCGGAAAGUCGUCGGUGAAAGCUCGGGCUCAACCCUGAGUCUGCCGUGAAGUACAUGGCCCGCUGGCUCGAGCUCACUAGAGGCAGAUGGAAUUCCGGGUGUAGCGGUGGAAUGCGUAGAGAUCCGGAAGAACACCGGUGGCGAAGGCGGUCUGCUGGGGUGAGGCUGACGCUGAUGCGCGACAGCGUGGGGAGCAAACAGG